UCCCUCAUAGCUCAGUUGGUAAAGAAUCUGCCUGCAAUGCAGGAGACCUGGGUUUGAUUCCUGGGUCGGGAA
rnacentral:tRNA from 1 species